rnacentral:rRNA from 1 species
UACGUAGGUGGCAAGCGUUGUCCGGAAUUAUUGGGCGUAAAGCGCGCGCAGGCGGUCCUUUAAGUCUGAUGUGAGAGCCCACGGCUCAACCGUGGAGGGUCAUUGGAAACUGGGGGACUUGAGUGCAGGAGAGAAGAGUGGAAUUCCACGUGUAGCGGUGAAAUGCGUAGAGAUGUGGAGGAACACCAGUGGCGAAGGCGACUCUUUGGCCUGUAACUGACGCUGAGGCGCGAAGCGUGGGGAGCAAACGGG